UUGACGGUUGGUGCGGGCUGUUUCUUUACUUUGAUACGGGAAUGUUCUUAUGGCCCUUAAAGGGUUAACGUCGAACCCGUCGUGAAACCUAAGCGCCUGCAAAAAAAAGGGAAGAAACCAUCGUGAAGGUUAGCGAGGGAGAGUGAAUCACAGGAGUGAAGAGGACAACGAGCAUAGAAGAGGCUAAACGGGUGGCAGCUCUUUGGUGUUUGCGUUGACAUCACGGCCCCACGUCUGACCUGCUGUGCUUGUGGCAGUGUCCGGAGCAUUACAAGCCAUUUACUGCUGUGAACUGAUGUUUACAUGCCUGACUUAUCACAGAGCAUGCUUAACGGACAGGACACACAGCUACUCCAAUGGGAAAAAAAAAAGCACGUCAGGAAAUAAAUUUGAGAUUAGGGACUGAGGCCGUAAAAUAGAAGAGAACUGUUACAGUUUUUAUUAUUUACUUUCACAGGAAGAGUAAGGAUUAACAACCCCAGAGCCUGCAAAAGGUGAGGAUUGGUCCUCCGGACUCUGCUGGCUGCGAAUCCCCCAGAAGCAAUGUCAGGAACCAGAACUGUUGCUGAGCACCGGGCCAUAUCCAGUGUGGCAAGAAAAUAGACUGAGCUCAAUGAAAAGCAGCAAAAUAGAUCUUUUCAAAGAAGGAAUAAAACUAAACAAAAAAAACAUCUCUUUGCGAAGAGGGAAUGCAAGAGGGGAAGUUUAAAAAAAGCAGAGCAACCUGUGGAAUCGAGGACUCCAAUAGCAAGUCCAGAGAUCUUUGGCAGACAAAACAAUGGGAAGGAGAUGAGAAGCCCUGCCGAGGUGCCUCAGCAGGCUAUAGCUGAGCCUGAUUUAAUUACUCUCCAACGCUACCCCAAAAUGCCGACAGUCCCCAUGCCAAUUAGGCAGCGAAAGAUAAACCUGUCGAUAAAGGUGACCUGGUCACGUCAGCGGGAGAGGCGGCUCGCAGGAUAGCUCGUGAUCAGGGUGAAUCAGACGAUAUCAAGCACUUGCUACGAUGACCCUGCCUGUUUCUGCUCAGAACACUUUCCCCAUCUGCCAGAAAUAGAGAAGCUUUGAAAGAGAAGUACAAAGAAGAGAAUGCACAACAGAAUGAGGUUUCCUCAGAAAAUCCAGAUGAAAAUCAAAAUCCGCUGAGAAUACAGAAGAUCAUUGAUGACAGAAGAAUCUUCUGCGGCAGGAUGAUUGGCAUUCUUAGGAGGAAGACCAGAGGAGAAGAGGGGUUUGAGGAGAGAUGGCAAAGAUGAAGAGAGGAUUCCAUCACGAUGCAGUCCCUCGGGAUCAAAGAUGACUUGCUUCCACUCUGGCCUUGAGGAUCGGAAGAUGCUAUCUUGCAACAUGGGAGAUUGGUGUACACAGCAUUGACAGACCAAAGACCUGGGCCAUUGACACUCAAACUUGUGGUGUUGCUUUCUUCUCAGAAUGUCAAGGAAUAAGUCAAACCAUCUACAAAAAUAUGGAAAUGUGCUGAGUGGUAGCGAUGGUAAUCUUCCUGGAGGAGGCCCUUCACUUCUUUGAGUGUGCGAUGCCUUUUUGGACCACAAACUCCAGAGGUUUGGCCUUGAAAGGCAAGACGCCGUCUCCUGAGGCAUCGACGCCCUAUGCCAGGAAUUGAAGCUGGGAGCCAACAGACGUCCCUACAUACAUACAAGAGCAGCCAGAUUGCAAUGUUGGUGUUUUGAGUUCAAUGUCUUCCUCUGAUCUGAUUCACCAAAGAUGCUACAGUUAUAGGAACAGUUUUGUUCCAAAUCUCCAGCCAAGAAAUUUGAUUCAGGACAAAUCAGUGAGUAAGAAAUAAUUUCACAAAUAGGAUCGGGUUACUUGGACUAGUUUGGUCACUGCUCCAUCUGCAUUCCAGCUAAAGCUUGGUUUUGGGAUCAGCGGACAAAAUCGAGGAAUACAAAGUGGGAAGAAAUUGCAGGAUUUUCACUUACUACCAUUUUUAACGCAAGUUUAGUACUUUGCUAAGCCUUGACCUGGAAUCGUUUCCUCCUCGAAUCUUAAAGGUUUGAAGUGGACUUGAUCUAAUCUGGGAGUGUUGUGUGCUUUUACCAAGAACAAAAACAUGGGUUCACGCACAUUUUAGGAAAGAAACAACUGAACUGUUUAACACUGUUUUACGUUCAAUUUUACACACCAUUUAUUCUCCAUCCCUCAUCGAGUGAUACAGUUUGGAAACGGGCCCUUCAGCCCAACUUGCCCGCACCAGCCAACAUGUCCCAUCUACACUAGUCCCAGUUGCCUGCCUUUGGUCCAUAUCCCUCCAAACCUGUCCUAUCCACCAUUGGCCCCAAGAAAAGGAAAAACACGAACAAGGUUGGUGGGAAGGGAAUCAGACAUAGGUCUGACUGUGUUAGGAUGAUGGGUUUUCUUCCCGUGGGCAAUAUUAGUGAACAUGUUUGUUUUUGCAACAAUGUCGUGAAGGUAUUGUCAUCAUAGAUGGAUUUAAAUUGGAAUCCAAUUUUAAAAUGUCAUAGUGAGACUUGAAAUCCCUGGAUUAUUAGUGUAGGUGAUAAUAUUAUGAAUCUAAAAAUUGAAUCACUAUCUAUGCCUUCAUAUUACAACUGCAUUUGUAAAUGUUUUUUCUGCAUCUCUAUCCUUUUCCAGUCUAUAGGCUUUUGAAAUGCGCUUGCUUGUCAUCUGGCAUCUGCAGUUCUUCUUUGACUCAUGUUUUUCUCCCUCAGUCUUAUCUGGGUUCCUCUUUACUGACGAUGCAAAAUGGAUGUUUCCACUAAAACUGAUGUUCCAAGGCACGGAAGAUCUGUCCAAACAUGUCAGACUAGUAUAGCCCAAGGUGUGGGACUAUGCACUGAGUGACACACUGAAGCUCGAUGAAGCCAUUGUAAUGGCUCCAUGAGAAUAGGCUUAAGGAUUAGAGCACUUCCAUCAUUGAAAACCAAAGGACAGGAGCCUAUGUAAGAACCUCUUUGACGUAUUACUAGUGAAUUGAAUGUGAAAGGACUGCUCUAAACACAGUGAUUAACAUUUAUAUGGGUUGCAAAUAUUUGUUGUGUUUUUACCCCCAAAAUGUAUACAAUUUGCAACAUACUCUACAUUCAUAUGCAAACAUUCACAACACAAGACGUAUUCUAUUUCCUUAUAAGAUUUACAGUUUAUCAUUGGGACAUUAAUUUUUCUUUCACCUACAUUCCACGUCUGAGAGGUUCUUGCACAUGGUCUUGCACAGCUCUUCAGUUUGCAAUGACAGAAAAGUGCUGAGCCUUAAACCUUUCAUUGUGAAGCCUUUGCAAAGACUGUACCAAACUUCAGUGCGUCCCUCGUCACGUUGGACUAGACUUCUCCGCAACAUUUGGCCGCGGCCAGCUGCCUGCCUUGAAACACCACUAGGUUUCAGACAGUAAGAUGCACCAUUCACCAAGUUGAUUAACUUUCUUGCAGCAAUUGAACCUACUUGAGUCCGUGUCCUCAGGAACAGUCACAUAGUGCACAAACUAUCACGUGAUGGAGCUGGGUGGGAUGAAUCUUGACAAAGACCACUAAAUCCCUUUCCAGAUCUUCUUAGACAAAUACCUCAUCGGGAAGGAGAUAGAUGACCAUCACGCAUGUGUUUGAGACCAAUUGAGCAUGAAGGAUCUGAGAGGAAGGGCCCAUCUUAAUAUCAGCUGAGCAAUAUUAUGGUCCUUGUUUGAAACUUCUACUGAUGAAAGUUUCUGCCAAGUGACUUUGACGGUCUAUUUUGGGAACCAUGACAAAGCAUCCACCAUCUCCUUUUCCCUCAAGGAUAUUCCACGCAGAACACUGUCUGAUUGACUGGCAGUCCAUGUGUGCUUAUGCACCAGCUGUUGUGCAAGGGACAGGUGGGACUGCAUGGUCCAGCAAAAAGGAACAACCUACUGCUAUAUGGCCACAAUCUCCUUAACAAUGAGGGCAGGGAGAACCUCAACACCUAGGUUAGAUGACCUGGAAAAGGUGGCAAUAUGGUUUGGAGGAGUGAGGGAAUGCAGCUAGAAUGGAACCUAUUAAUUUCCAGGGAGUCAGGGAGAAGUGUAACCAGUGUCUCCCUCAGCAGCCAUUUCUCAUCUCUAGCUGAUAGAACUGCAGCACAGACAUGCAGCGGGACAUGGAGCAACACUGAGAACAGCUCACACUCAUUCAUCUGAUUCAUUCCCACUAUUGAGAGGGGCGGUGCUCCCAAAACCACAUUCCCAGUUGCACCUUGAUGAAUGGGCUCCAUGCGAUAUGCAUGUCCUUGGUCUGCAAACCAUCCUGCCAGCAUUUUCAGGCAAUCGGACCCGACAGCGAAGAGAAUAAAGGAUCAGAGAGACCAGUUGCCAAAGAACAUUUUCUUGCUUUUGUUAGAAUUCACUUUAGCCCCAGAGGCCUGAUCAGACUGGUCAUCAGUCUGCAGACCAACAGUGGAUCUGAGCAGAGGAGGAUGUCAACUGCACUUUGAUCUGAGGGUCUCCAUGGCCUGGGAUCAAUACCACUCCAAUGCCACAUCCUUCCAUUCAUCAAAGGCAAUAUGACAGAUGAACCAGAUAGUCUUGCAUUGUUACCUUGAUCAGAAGGUACUUACUGCUUUAAACCAGCAGAUGGCAAUUGGGAGCCUAGAACCAUACACCAGUCGACCAAGACAAUUCUUGCUACCCCUCUAGGCUUUAUCUCCUGCUUCAAUAUCUGGUUGGUAAAAAUGGUUAUUAAGUUUAAUGAAAAAAUAUUUAUUAGUUAUUAGGGGUGAGAAAAGACCUCAUUGGAUAUUGAAGAGAACUCGUUAUGAUUGACUUUGGGAAGAUGGGGUGCGGCCAAGAAUGAGAAUGUGAGGCCAGUGCAAUGUGAGGUCACAUGUUGAUACCCAACAUUCAUCCAAAGUAACCAAUGGGGCGUUUCUGAAUGUAGACAAUGCUGAUGUCACUGAAGCACAAAGUGUGAACCAGAGUAGGCAGGCCGCAACUUGCCACAGGCUCUGCCGUUGGUCCAGGACUACAAAUUCUCCUGGCAGUUUCAUAGACAUAGGUGUUUAAGAAGGAACUGCAGAUGCUGGAAA